rnacentral:misc_RNA from 1 species
UAGUAAUUAAGGUUAUAUUAAAUUUAGUGAUUCGUCAGAUUCAGCACUGCCAUUAUCGGAAGACAUUUCAGC